CUGUGUGUGUCUGUCUGUGUGUGAGUGUGUGUGUGUGUGUGUGUGUGUCUGUCUGUGUGUCUGUCUGUGUGUCUGUGUGUGUGUCUGUCUGUGUGUGUGUGUGUGUGUGUGUGUGAGUGUGUGUGUCUGUCUGUGUGUGUGUGUGUGUCUGUGUGUGAGUGUGUGUGUGUGUGUCUGUGUCUGUGUGUCUGUCUGUCUGUGUGUGUGUGUGUGUCUGUCUGUCUGUCUGUCUGUCUGUGUGUGUGUGUGAGUGUGUCUGUCUGUGUGUGUGUGUGUGUGUGUGUGUCUGUCUGUCUGUGUGUCUGUCUGUCUGUCUGUCUGUCUGUCUGUCUGUCUGUGUGUCUGUCUGUCUGUCUGUCUGUCUGUCUGUCUGUCUGUCUGUGUGUGUGUGUGUGUGUGUGUGUGUGUGUGUGUGUGUGUGACAUCUCUCACUCUGUGUGAAACCUCAUCACAAUCCACAUUGACUGAUUUUUGUUUUAUUGUGAAAGACUCCGGAACUCGACCUGUUGUUUUUGCUAGCAAGAACAAACAGUCGUUAUCUCUGUUAGCCGUUAGCAGCUCCUCUCUCGGUGUCCCGGCUCUCGGUGUCCCGGCUCUCGGUGUCCCGGCUCUCGGUGUCCCGGCUCUCGGUGUGAACAUGUCCCGAGUCCAAAAGCUCCGGUUGUUCGUCAGUCAGCGGCUGAACGCGGCGGUCGAAGACAUUUUGGCGGCUUUUGAGAAAACGGUCGUUAAAUACGAACAAGAAGCGGCUCUUUGUCAGGAAGUGAUCUCCCGCCAGCACGCGCUGCUCUGCGCGCUCCACAACCCGCUGAUUGGAGCCGGUGAGCACAGACUCCUUCAGUCAGCAGCUGGUGGUCCCCUCUCAGCACCAUGACCAGGAGGACCCAGAGCCAUCACGCAUCAGAGAGGAACCGGAGCUAGAGCCGCUUCUAGACCUGGACGAGGCAGACAUCAUCCAGUUCACCUACAGCACCAAGCCUGGACCCAGGCUGGGUCAGGAUGUGGAUCGGCUGUCUGCUCUCGGAGAAGAACCGGAUCCAGAUCCGGAGAUCCAGCUGGUGUCGUCUGAGACCGAGGACAGCGACGACUACAGCAGAGACUCCGACACCAGAACUGCUUUGAGCCGGUCUAAAGCAAAACAGGGCCGCAGACCAGGAGGACCACUGAGCUGCAGAGUCUGCAACCGGACCUUCAGGGCCCGCCGGGCUCUGUUCAGGCACCUCAGGGCCCACCUGCAGGAGGCGGUCUGCGGGGUGUGUGGGGGCCGCUUCGAAGCUGCUGAGAGUCUCAAGAUCCACAUCCAGACUCACCGGACCCCUCAGAGAAAGAGGGGGGAGCCGGAGGUCCAGACCAGGACCCGGAGCGGAGAGAGGCGGUCUCACCGACCCAACACGAAGACAAGCCCAGAACCACACACCUGUGGCGAGUGCGGGAAGAGGUUCCUGCAGGUCUGGAGGAAGAGGAAGCACCGGUGCCAUCCCCCGAGACUGGGCCAGGAGGGUCCGCAGGGGACUGUACACAGGACCAGAACUUAAAGGAGUCCAGUUUCUGUAGUUUAGUUUAUUUUCUUUAAUAAUCUUAUUUUUAUUGUCAGAUUUGUUUUUGUUUUUAAUAUUUGGAGAAAAACAAUAUUUUAAUUACACAUUUUUGAGAAUAAAGUUGUUAAAUGCAACAAAUCAGAAUAAAAAGUAUUUUUUGAUUAAAAACUCAUUUUCUCCAAAUUUAAACUUUAUUCUCAAAAUAUUUUUAUGUUGUUUUCAGAUAUCUGACAAUAAAGUUGUAAUAUUUGUAGAAAAACACAUUUUAUAUUUGGAGAUAUUUUAUUUUUGAGAUUUUUGUAACUUUAGAGAAACUUUAAAGACUUUGAUACUUUAAGUGUAAUUUGUUACUUUAAGAAAGUCAACAGGUAGAAAACAGUUUCUCCUUCAGUUUCCAUGGUAACAUCUUUAUUGGUUCGGUUUCUCUCCCUGAGCUCAGUGGGAAUGUUGUAAUAUUGUGUUUAUUGAUUAUUGGUUCUGAUAAUCAGCUGUCACAUUCCAAUAAAGACAUUUUCUGUCAGUCUGUGUUUGAUAAAGUGAAAGCGGCUGCCGUACGGUGGUAGCCAGCGGAGGGCGCGCAGCAGGGACACGCCCAUAACACCUGUUCAAGUACAGGUGAUUUAACAUCUGGGUGCUUGCUGAUGAGUACUUCAUAAUAAUAUUAAUAAUACAGUGAAAACAUGUUUUAUUCUCAUUUUAAUCUCGAUAUAAAGUCCAACAGGAACCACUGAAGCACAACAGAGACGGUUUCCUCUCAAACAGGAAAGAAAAGAUCAAUCAGGUCUGAUCAGUAAUUGGUAAUUGAUCAGUAAUCUAUAAUGGAAGCUCAGUUCCAUCAACGAGACAAUAAUGAGAAACUCCAAAUAUUAACUGAACAUCACUCAUACAAUCGCCGUUAAAGGCUGAAACAAACUGAGUACAGCUCGGUCAAAAGUCUCCAUCUACAGUCAGUGUUUGAGUUUGUCCGUUCUUGGCUACUGUAGAAACAUGGCAGUUCAACAUGGCGGCCAGAAGUGGACCCGCUCCCUCUGUAGGUCUCAUUCUAAGUUCACAGCUGAUAUUAUUACAGUGACUUUUAACCUUUAACCUGUGAACACGUCUUUCAGGAGGGAGUUCAGCUGGCGGACGUCGGCCAUGUUUGGUUCCUGCUUGGAUUCAGACGGACAGCAAAACAAAACAUACGUUGCUAUGGUGACGUCGUAAUUAAAUACAUUUUCAGUUCAGUUUUAUUUGUUCACCAACUCACAACACCCCCCAACUUCCUGUCGCUC
rnacentral:lncRNA from 15 species